CUGAGGCACGGGCAGUGCAGCCGCUGGCAUCGGUGAACCUGGAUCUGCGCAGGCUCUGUGCAGACAGCGGGUUUCCGUCUGCAAUUUUCGUCCGCAAGCUGUCACCCUCUCGUCAGCACAUCACCUAGCCUGCACCCCAGACACUUGAGAAUGCCUACUUAAGGAACAGCAUUGCUCAGCUUCUUUGCAGUCAGCGGCAAAUACGUUCCCGGAGCUAAUCAUUUCAUGCCUUUCGGCAGGUGAGCCUUUUGCUCUUACUUAUUUUACCACUGUAAUUUUUUACCGCUGACUGCACAGAAAUGUCUUCUGAUUGUGCUGCUUGCUCUAAGCCGUUACCUUCGGAUGCGAAAUUUUUAACAUGGUCGGCUUGCCAAUAAGGUUUCCACCUUGGAAAACGAUGCUCUACAGUAGUUGAAAACAGCUACGAAAAAAUGAGUACAGUUAAACGUUAAACCUGGCUGUGCCAUACAUGUCGACCGGAAAAAAGCACACAAGGAGAGUUGACACAGACAGCUAAAGAAGAAUCGUUUGCACAGCAAUUUAUUGCUGUAAAUGAAAACUAGACCGACUUGCAUCUAGUGUAGAAAUACUCGCCACGAAGGUAAAGGAACUUCUUACAUUUAAGGACUCGGUUCGAAAGAUCGAGAAUGGGACACAGGUAGUGCAGACUUCAAUAGAAUUUCUUUCCGCGAAAUAUGACUCGGUAUUGGAGACAGUCAACAAAAAUCAGACGGAAGUGGCGGAAUUACGUUCCAAGGUUGACUCGCUGUCUUCUACCGUCGAGUUCCAGUCAAACCUGAUUCACAAAAUACGUGAGCAAUUGGAUGAAAUGGAGCAGUACAGUAGGAGAAACAAUUUCGAGAUCCAUGGGCUUCCCAGUUAGCCAAAGAAGAACUUGCAAUCCUUCCUCAGUGAUCUUGCGCAACAACUUGAUGUACCUAACUUUGCAGCAACUCAUAUCUCUGCUAUCCAUCGUCUACCGAGUAGGGACAAUACUGCACCAGCUAUUCUUGUCCAGAUGUGCUCCGUUGAAGCGAAGGAACAUUGGCUUCGAUCACGUAAAAACUUGCCAGGAUUAGUUCAGAAUGAUUUUCUAUGGUUGUAUUUUAGUGACAACCUCACACGGGUUAAUCGUGAACUCUUCUGGCUAGCUGGCACUAAAGCAAAGGAAAUGUGCUUCAAGUACGUCUGGACAAGAAAUGGCAAGGUGUUUGCAAGGAAAGCAGACGGCGCUCCACUCGUUCGAAUUAAUAGAAAAUUGGACAUUGAGAGGCUUAUCUAGUCAUGGGUAGCACUUUCAAGGUUUGCAAUGACCUUUUAGAAGUUUCCCGGUUUUUUUGUUAUGCGAGUAAUGACGCUUUCCACGUUACUCACGUAAACAUCAGAAGCAUUCGCAAGCACUGGGACUACUUAGUAGGCAUUCUAUCUUCUGUUCCACUGCUUUUUGAUGUCACCGUACUCACCGAGAUAAAUAUCUCGCCAGGUCUAUUUUCUAGUUUCGCGGUGCCGGGCUAUCAGUCAUUCUCCUUUCUUCGUCCGGUCCGGAAGGGGGGAGGCGUGGCUGUCUUCGCAAAAAACACUUGCCCCCGUAUUCUUAAACACGCCUUCACUUGAAGCUUCUCCUCGACUCAACCAAGUCGAGGCGACGGGGCUUCCUUCACUCAAGGCGCCGUUGCGUUUCAUGAACCUUCACCUUUCCUCCGCCAUGGAACGCCUUGAAAAAGCGCCCUCGACUCAAGUGAAGUGUACCGACCGAGAAAAGCGUCUGAUAUCAAGACUAUUCUGAAUGUGCUUAUCAAAAGUACCAUUAUGUAAGACAAAUAUGUGUUUCCGUUAAUUCGUUUUCCAAAUCAAACGACUACAUGGCGCGAUGCACAACUUUAGCUCGGCAACGCUGCCACUGCGAGCGUUCGACUAAUAGAGCAAGCGGGAGCUGUGUUUGAGGUCUGGCAACAAUCGCAUCCCAACAGCUGAGAGCAUGGCGUAUGGCUGAGAACCAAGAUUAUUUGCGCCGGCAUUUGUCCGCUGCUCUUUGUUUCCUAGUGUUUUAUUGGUGACUGACGUUGUGGUUGUUAAGCACGGUUAUGAUGGGUGAUUUUUUCCUUGUGCGUAUGGUGACCGAGCCUUCGAAGGAGGCCACAGAUGGAACGGCAGAUGGGCAGCUUUGUUCAGCUUCAAGACCGAGUGGUGCUGCGAGUUUGCUAAAAGGAACAACAGGACAGAAGAUAUGGGAUGUGGGCCUUUGACGCCCAGCUGAUGAAAAAAAUCAACGCCUGUGCUGUACAGUAAGGCUUCUGGCAGACCUGAAAGCAUCGAUAGAUGCGGUGCCUGCCUGUUGGAAUUGCACCAGCUCGCUUCCCUGAAAGAACCUAGAUGCUGAAGAAGUACUUCACUAACCUACCCGCAUUGUCAUUGUGACAGUCUGCAUCACCAUUUGACCUAUUUUGGGAUCCCACAAGACACGCUGGGUUUUGUACCACGGUCAAUUGCUGAAGUUCUGCAAGCCCCAUUGAAGCCAACUGUCAUAGGCAUCCAAUCGAAGAAACUCAUUGUUCCGGCAGUCAUAAUUUAUCUUAAGCUUAAGCUAGAAACAUGGUAGAAACAGCAUAUAUUCUACAAGGAUUUACUACUGCAUGCCGUCGAGUGGCUACAACCGACAGGCUACUGUCUUGAACAGAUAUGGUGUUUUACUCUAGAAUAUAUUUGUCAGCAGUACUACUCCUUCUGUUUAUACCCCUGGAAACAAACAAGCGAAGACACCAAAGACAACAUAGGAGAAAUUACUUGUACUUACUAAUUGAAUUAAAGAAAUGACAAAGUAAUGGCAAUGAAAGUGGUUGAGUAAACUUGCCAUAGGCGUGCGUUGCUCAAACCAAUUGAUCUACCGCGGCGCCGUUUUCCCAUCCACUUUCUUGUGUAUUUAUAUUUUAUUACUAAAACUAACUACUACUACUAUGAGAACUAGAUCAUUCACCACCUGUGGGAAAUUAUGUGUUCACCUACUUUCAUUGAUAUUAAUUUAUAAUUUCUUUAAUUCAAUUAGUAAGUACAAGUAAUUUUCCAUAUGUUGUCUUCGGUGACUUUGCUUUAUGGGUUCUCAUGAUAUGAUUAUUAAUAAUCACGCCCCUCGGUUAACUCCCUUUCUUAAUUCUCCUUCAUUACUGCUUCUGUUUGUGCGAUAAGAGUUCACGCUGUAAUGCAUACUAUCAAAGUACAAGAAGGCAAGAAUAAUGUUAAUUUAAUGUUUUAGACAAAAAACUGGCACUUGAAAGGAUCAGAAAUUAUUAAGGGCUACAUACUGUCUUAAUAAAUAUGACUGAAAAAAGACAUCUGGAUGAAAAAUACAAUGACUUCAGCUACAACGUGUCUAUGAAGGCAAAUUCAUGCAGUCAAACUACUUUUAGUGGUAAUGUUUGAGCUGGUAGGAUGUCAGAAAAGUGAUAGAUGUCUUAAGCAGAAUAUUUUGACGGCUAUCAUAGUGCAGCAGGACAUUAACUGGACCUCUCCUCCACUUGCACACCAAUGCAAGCGCAGCACACACAACACAGUUGGAAAGGCAGUUGCUCUUCGUGCGUGUGUUGGCAACCUGGUUCCUGCAUAAGAGAAGGGGUUGGUAAUAAACAUACAAUGACGUAAAAAAAGGUCCAUGAAAACUAGAUUAGGUACUGUAUUCGUUGUCCUUAGCUUACAUUUCGUAAUAAUACAUUCGUUUAAGAAUUUUGUGUUCUAGAGCGCGAUUUUUUCAGCAUUAAUUAGCUCAUAUUGUUUUUAUUUAUUUUUAUUUGCAAAGAAACAUUUUCCAGCUGGUCUAACGCUUGCGCAGCAAGACCGACAUACAGCGAUCUAGCACUUAUAUAAUGAACCCUAUAGAGAGCUGGGAUGUUCGGAAUAAAGGUGUGCGAGAUAUAUCUGCUA